ACCACCGCGUGUUACUUCUGGACUCGCCCACAUAGAUAGUGUCGAUCAGUUAUCGUUAAGCCAAGCGCUUAUCAGGCUAGAAAAACAGCCAAUUGGAGCAUCAUUGCUCAUUUUCAUGCCUGAUUAUGCACAAACUAGCAAGGGAGUUUAUCGUGGUCGUAUGACAAAUAGAUCUUAUUUUAGAUCAGUGCAGGAAGUAUCAGUGAUGUCUGUGAUUGAAAAAAAUGGAGAAAAACUGUUGAAGGUUAGAUUAAACGAUGCAGACAUGGCGGGAGAUGAUGAAGGGUACCUUAAAGUAUCGAUGGAGGUUAUGUUGGUUUGAGUCCCAACAGAAGGAAAUCAGUCUGAUGGUAAGUUUGACAAACCGAGGAUGUUACUCACUGACUUUGUAUGUCCAACCGUGUUGUAGAUACAACAAUGCAAGACCGAAUAAGGGGUGGAGACGAAGCAAUGGUGAUGAAGUAGAGAAGAGAAACGGUGGUCAUGAAGUAGAAGAG